UCUAGAAGGAUUUUUAAACAACUGGCUGUUCCAUGCAUCUCGCUGCCCGCCCGCCGCUACCAGGAGCUCGCGCACAGGAGGGGGCCGGGCGGAAGGAAAGUGCGGCCUGAAUCCUCCGCUCACACAGCUACGGUCUAUGGGGCGCCUCAGCCGCCUUUGUACUACUCCUCAUGUGUGGUAGCCGCGCCAGGACGUGUGGUGCCCAUACACCAGACAGUCCAGCAUGGAAGCCAGGCAAAUUUCAGGGUUGCAAGCCACCAAAACCAGCAACAUGUGUAAGAGAAAGGACGCCACUUCUUCCCAAAACGAUUGGGCUGCACCUCCAAAUCAUGUGCCAGAAAUCCGCCUCCAAUUCCCCGCACCUUGGGCAUGCAGUAGAUGAUGCUCUACCCAUUCUGUACAGCCUAGUUGGUGUUAGAUAUGCCUGAUGUACAAUGUAUAAUUGUAUUAUUUUGUUAUUGACUGCUGGCGACACCUGUAAAUGCGAUUCUAAUAAAUCAGCUGUAGAAUCAGCUGUAAGUGCGG